rnacentral:rRNA from 1 species
AACGAACGCUGGCGGCGUGUUUAAGACAUGCAAGUCGCACGGGAUAAGAUAUGUAGCAAUACUUGUCUUAUUUAGUGGCGCACGGGUGAGUAACACGUGAAUUACAUGCCCUAUAGAGGGGAAUAGCCCAGGGAAACUUGGAUUAAUACCCCAUGGUAUCGCAAGAUUAAAGGUGGCCGCAAGGCUGUCGCUAUAGGAUUGGUUCGCGCCCUAUCAGCUUGUUGGUGAGGUAACGGCUCACCAAGGCAAUGACGGGUACCUGGUCUGAGAGGACGAUCAGGCACACUGGAACUGAGACACGGUCCUGACUCCUACGGGAGGCAGCAGUGGGGAAUCUUGCGCAAUGGGCGAAAGCCUGACGCAGCAACGCCGCGUGAGCGAAGACGGCCUUCGGGUUGUAAAGCUCUGUCAGGAGGGACGAAGCCACUCGGGUGAAUAGCCCAGAGGGUGACGGUACCUCCAGAGGAAGCCCCGGCUAACUACGUGCCAGCAGCCGCAGUAA